rnacentral:rRNA from 1 species
CACGUAGGGGACGAGCGUUGUCCGGAAUCAUUGGGCGUAAAGAGCGUGUAGGCGGCCAGAUAAGUCCGCUGUGAAAUCUCGAGGCUCAACUUCGAGCUGUCGGUGGAAACUGUCUGGCUAGAGUCCGGAAGAGGAGAAUGGAAUUCCUGGUGUAGCGGUGAAAUGCGCAGAUAUCAGGAAGAACACCCGUGGCGAAGGCGGUUCUCUGGGACGGUACUGACGCUGAGACGCGAAAGCGUGGGGAGCGAACAGG